rnacentral:rRNA from 1 species
UACGUAGGGUGCGAGCGUUGUCCGGAAUUAUUGGGCGUAAAGGGCUCGUAGGCGGUUUGUCGCGUCGGGAGUGAAAUCCACUGGCUUAACUGGUGGCUUGCUUUCGAUACGGGCAGGCUAGAGUUCGGUAGGGGAGACUGGAAUUCCUGGUGUAGCGGUGAAAUGCGCAGAUAUCAGGAGGAACACCGAUGGCGAAGGCAGGUCUCUGGGCCGAUACUGACGCUGAGGAGCGAAAGCGUGGGGAGCGAACAGG